CUGAGUUUACAACUCCCAAACCCCUGUGAACAUACCUAUCGUUGCUUCGGCGGAUCCGCCCCGGCGCCCUCGGGCCCGGAUCAGGCGCCCGCCGGAGACCCAAACUCUUGUAUUUCUUUAGUAUCUUCUGAGUAAACAAGCAAAUAAAUUA
rnacentral:misc_RNA from 1 species